GUCAACGAUGAUGCAUACAUGUCAACUAUGGGUGUUGGCUCCAACAAUUCGCAUUGGUCCCAAACCAAUGACAUGCAUUUUGAAGACCAUGAGUUCGAGGUGGACGAGGAUGGUGAGGGCAUUGUCGACGCGCCGAAAGGAAGAGCGGGCAAUUACACCAACACUGAUGACAUCUUACUAUGCAAUACUUGGUUGCAAGUGUCGAUGGAUCCAUCCGUUGGAGGUGAUCAAAGUAGAGAUGCUUAUUAGGGGCGGAUGAAAGAACACUUUGAUGUUCAUAACGUGAGUGGAAUUGACCGCUUCGAGAGAUCAUUUCGGUCCCGGUGGUCGACAAUCAACUCGAAUUGUCAAAGGUGGGUGGCCUGUCAAAAGGCGUGA
rnacentral:rRNA from 1 species